rnacentral:rRNA from 1 species
GACGAACGCUGGCGGCGUGCUUAACACAUGCAAGUCGAACGGUGAACCUCUUCGGGGGGGGGCAGUGUCGCGCACGGGAGUGAAACAUGUGCAACAUCUGCCCCCCGCUCUGGGAACUCCAAGAGAUAUUGGGGAUUAUCCCGGAUGUGCCCGUUGGCUGCAUGGUGUGGUGGUGGAAAGGGUUUCCGGCUGGGGAUGGGCCCGCGGCCUAUCCGCUUGUUGGUGGGGUAGUGGCCUACCAAGGCGACGACGGGUAGCCGGCCUGAGAGGGUGACCGGCCACACUGGGACUGAGACACGGCCCAGACUCCUACGGGAGGCAGCAGUGGGGAAUAUUGCGCAAUGGGCGGAAGCCUGACGCAGCGACGCCGCGUGGGGGAUGACGGCCUUCGGGUUGUAAACCUCUUUCAGCAGGGACGAAGCGCAAGUGACGGUACCUGCAGAAGAAGCACCGGCCAACUACGUG